rnacentral:rRNA from 1 species
UACGGAGGGUGCAAGCGUUAUCCGGAUUCACUGGGUUUAAAGAGUGCGUAGGUGGGCAGUUAAGUCAGUGGUGAAAUCUCCGGGCUUAACCCGGAAACUGCCAUUGAUACUAUUUGUCUUGAAUACUGUGGAGGUCAGCGGAAUAUGUCAUGUAGCGGUGAAAUGCUUAGAUAUGACAUAGAACACCAAUUGCGAAGGCAGCUGGCUACACAAAUAUUGACACUGAGGCACGAAAGCGUGGGGAUCAAACAGG